GACGUCAUCCCCGCCUGGGGAGUACGGCCGCAAGGCUAAAACUCAAAGGAAUUGACGGGGGCCUGCACAAGCGGUGGAGUAUGUGGCUUAAUUCGAUGCAACGCGAAGAACCUUACCUGGCCUUGACAUGUAUCUAGUAGAAGGGUGAAAGCCUGACGAGAUAGCAAUAUCAGGAUACACAGGUGCUGCAUGGCUGUCGUCAGCUCGUGUCGUGAGAUGUUGGGUUAAGUCCCGCAACGAGCGCAACCCUUAUGUCCUGUUGCCACUUGAACGAGAGUUCGAAGCACUCUGGACAGACUGCCUCGCUUAAACGAGGAGGAAGGUGGGGAUGACGUUGGAGGAAUUCCA
rnacentral:misc_RNA from 1 species